GCAUGACUCAGACUGCAUGACAGGUAC
rnacentral:piRNA from 1 species